AUGUGUUCCAAGUUCCAACAGCCCCGAGGCCCCGAUGAGCGGCAGCGUCAACGGCAGCUGCAUCGCAACUCCGACGGCUGCUGCAUAGCAGCUCCGGCGUCCUGGCCGCUGCAUCAUAGGUUCGACGGCUGCUGCAUCCUGGCCGCUGCAUUGCAGCUCUGGCGGUGUCGACUCCGACGGCCGCUACAUAGCAGCUCCGGCGACGUCGUGGCCGCUCCAUUGCAACUCUGGCGGCCUCUGCAUCUCAGCUCCAGCGGCGUCGACUCCGACGCACCGCUGCAUUGCAACUCCGACGGCCGCAGCUCCGGCAGUGUCGGCUCCAACACGCUGCUGCAUCGCAACUCCGAUGGCAGCAGCUCCGACGGCGUCGUGGCCGCUGCAUUGUAG
rnacentral:rRNA from 1 species